rnacentral:rRNA from 1 species
GAUGAACGCUGGCUACAGGCUUAACACAUGCAAGUCGAGGGGAAACGACGGGGAAGCUUGCUUCCCCGGGCGUCGACCGGCGCACGGGUGAGUAACGCGUAUCCAACCUGCCUCUGACUGAGGGAUAACCCGUCGAAAGUCGGCCUAAUACCUCAUGGCAUCGUCUGCGGGCAUCCAACGACGAUUAAAGAUUUCAUCGGUCAGGGAUGGGGAUGCGUCUGAUUAGCUUGUUGGCGGGGUAACGGCCCACCAAGGCUACGAUCAGUAGGGGUUCUGAGAGGAAGGUCCCCUACAUUGGAACUGAGACACGGUCCAAACUCCUACGGGAGGCAGCAGUGAGGAAUAUUGGUCAAUGGGCGGGAGCCUGAACCAGCCAAGUAGCGUGCAGGAUGACGGCCCUAUGGGUUGUAAACUGCUUUUAUGCGGGGAUAAAGUGAGGGACGUGUCCUUCAUUGCAGGUACCGCAUGAAUAAGGACCGGCUAAUUCCGUG